UGCAAGUCGAACGGAAAGGCCUAGCUUGCUAGGUACUCGAGUGGCGAACGGGUGAGUAACACGUGGGUGAUCUGCCUCGUACUUCGGGAUAAGCCUGGGAAACUGGGUCUAAUACUGGAUAGGACCAUGCUUUAGUGUGUGUGGUGGAAAGUUUUUUCGGUACGAGAUGAGCCCGCGGCCUAUCAGCUUGUUGGUGGGGUAAUGGCCUACCAAGGCGUCGACGGGUAGCCGGCCUGAGAGGGUGGACGGCCACAUUGGGACUGAGAUACGGCCCAGACUCCUACGGGAGGCAGCAGUGGGGAAUAUUGCACAAUGGGCGCAAGCCUGAUGCAGCGACGCCGCGUGGGGGAUGACGGCCUUCGGGUUGUAAACCUCUUUCGCUAGGGACGAAGCUUUUGUGACGGUACCUAGAUAAGAAGCACCGGCUAACUACGUGCCAGCAGCCGCGGUAAUACGUAGGGUGCGAGCGUUGUCCGGAAUUACUGGGCGUAAAGAGCUCGUAGGUGGUUUGUCGCGUCGUCUGUGAAAUUCCGGGGCUUAACUUCGGGCGUGCAGGCGAUACGGGCAUAACUUGAGUGCUGUAGGGGAGACUGGAAUUCCUGGUGUAGCGGUGGAAUGCGCAGAUAUCAGGAGGAACACCGAUGGCGAAGGCAGGUCUCUGGGCAGUAACUGACGCUGAGGAGCGAAAGCAUGGGGAGCGAACAGGAUUAGAUACCCUGGUAGUCCAUGCCGUAACGGUGGGCGCUAGGUGUGAGGGUCUUCCCGACUUUCGUGCCGUAG
rnacentral:rRNA from 1 species